GAUGAACGCUGGCGGCGUGCUUAACACAUGCAAGUCGAACGGUGAGGGCGGAGCUUGCUCUGCUGGACCAGUGGCGAACGGGUGAGUAACACGUGAGCAAUCUGCCCCUGACUCUGGGAUAAGCGCUGGAAACGGCGGCUAAUACUGGAUACGAGCUGCUGAUGCAUCUUCAGCAGCUGGAAAGAAGUGCCGUCGGGGAUGAGCUCGCGGCCUAUCAGCUUGUUGGUGAGGUAGUGGCUCACCAAGGCUUCGACGGGUAGCCGGCCUGAGAGGGUGACCGGCCACACUGGGACUGAGACACGGCCCAGAAUGCUACGGGAGGCAGCAGUGGGGAAUAUUGCACAAUGGGCGCAAGCCUGAUGCAGCAACGCCGCGUGCGGGACGACGGCCUUCGGGUUGUAAACCUCUUUUAGCAGGGAAGAAGCGAAAGUGACGGUACCUGCAGAAAAAGCGCCGGCUAACUACGUG
rnacentral:rRNA from 1 species